GGCAACAGGAAAAUCCUGUUCCUCUGUUAAGAUCCAUAACUGUCAGAGCAGAGUCAACUCUCAUGGUUCAGAAAUUCCUUCUCCUGAGCCCUACUUUCACUCCAUUCCUGGCAGUAUUAGCUGGCUGUUGACCCCACUAGCACCUUCAUAGAGAACUAAGUCAAAUAAACAUCACCAUAAUUCUACCUAGAGUCUUUUGGUUGGAUGGCAGCUGGUUUAAUCCCCAAUGGACCCAUCACAGCAAGGAGUAACAGAGUCUGACUGCUACCACCUUGACCUAAAUAAGAUGCCCCUUCUUUCCUAGAAAAUAAUCUUAAGAAGUUCCACAGAACAUAAGUAAGGAACAUAUGGACUAAAUCGAGAAUUGCUCUCCUCCAGUGGGUUCCAGG